AUGUCUAUUGGACCCGAGACCGAUCGAGCUAACUUAGUGCAGGCCUGCGCCUUGCAGGGCCGAACCGGUGUCUGUUGCAAAAGACUCGGAUGACACUAAGUUAGGGGUGAAAUGCCAAUCAAGUUCGGAGAUAGCUGGUUUUCCGCGAAAUCUAUUUAGGUAAAGCGGGCAGCUCU
rnacentral:rRNA from 1 species